rnacentral:rRNA from 1 species
AGAGUUUGAUCAUGGCUCAGGAUGAACGCUAGCGGCAGGCCUAACACAUGCAAGUCGAGGGGUAAGGCUCUUUCGGGAGUACACGACCGGCGCACGGGUGAGUAACGCGUUUGCAACCUACCUCUAACUGGGGCAUAGCCCGGAGAAAUUCGGAUUAAUACCCCAUAACAUUAUGAAAAGGCAUCUUUUUAUAAUUAAAGCUCCGGCGGUUAGAGAUGGGCAUGCGUGUCAUUAGCUUGUUGGUGAGGUAACGGCUCACCAAGGCAACGAUGACUAGGGGGUCUGAGAGGAUGAUCCCCCACACUGGUACUGAGACACGGACCAGACUCCUACGGGAGGCAGCAGUGAGGAAUAUUGGGCAAUGGACGCAAGUCUGACCCAGCCAUGCCGCGUGCAGGAUGAAUGCCCUAUGGGUUGUAAACUGCUUUUUUACGGGAAGAACUAUUCCUACGUGUAGGGAUUUGACGGUACCGUAAGAAUAAGCAUCGGCUAACUCCGUGCCAGCAGCCGCGGUAAUACGGAGGAUGCAAGCGUUAUCCGGAUUUAUUGGGUUUAAAGGGUGCGUAGGCGGAAUAUUAAGUCAGUGGUGAAAUCCUGCAGCUUAACUGUAGAACUGCCAUUGAUACUGGUAUUCUUGAAUGUAGUUGAGGUGGGCGGAAUGUGUAAUGUAGCGGUGAAAUGCUUAGAUAUUACACAGAACACCGAUUGCGAAGGCAGCUCACUAAACUAUGAUUGACGCUGAGGCACGAAAGCGUGGGGAGCAAACAGGAUUAGAUACCCUAGUAGUCC